UACGUAGGGUGCAAGCGUUAAUCGGAAUUACUGGGCGUAAAGCGUGCGCAGGCGGCUUUGCAAGACAGAUGUGAAAUCCCCGGGCUUAACCUGGGAACUGCAUUUGUGACUGCAUGGCUGGAGUGCGGCAGAGGGGGAUGGAAUUCCGCGUGUAGCAGUGAAAUGCGUAGAUAUGCGGAGGAACACCGAUGGCGAAGGCAAUCCCCUGGGCCUGCACUGACGCUCAUGCACGAAAGCAUGGGGAGCAAACAGG
rnacentral:rRNA from 1 species